rnacentral:lncRNA from 1 species
GAUCACACUCUAACUUCGCAAGUACUUAACUGUGCCCAGAAGCCUUCCAUCCCUGAAUUAGAAAUUCAGUUAGUCCAGUACCAAAGUACAGUGAGUUGCUUGCAAGUCACUGAGGCGAUCUCAAGUCUAAGGGACACUUAUACCUAUAUCCCAUCAGAGAUAUUCUCGACAGUAGAAUACUCUGGAGUUGGUCACGUUCAAUGAUGAUGUACCAGUACAUCUCACCUGUAUGCCAUACCAGUGUCUCCACACUCUUUGGUUAAGAGGACAACCAACCCAUAUGGCCUACAGCGACCUAUGCUCGAUAGAAGCUGUCGUCCUUAUUAACAGUCUAUCAUUUGAUCGUGAACUGUUUUAAGGACUAAUCGAUAAAUCCUCUCUUUAUCGAACUUAAAUAGUUCUAAGGACUUCAUCAUAACAACGGUGUUCAUUAGAAGAUGAAAGCUUAUGAUGAAGAUGCCAAAUAUAUUUUAUUUAUUAAUAAAUCAAUUACAAUACUUGAUUGCUCAACAGUCAACAGCUUGACGAUUGGCUUUUGGG